GCUAGGUGUGGUGGUGCACACCUGUAAUCCCAGCUACUCGGGAGGCUAAGGCAGGAGACUCGCUUGAGCCCAGGAAGCGGAGGUUGCAGUGAGCCGAGGUUGCACCACUGCAUUCCAGCCUGGGCGACAGAGUGAGACUCCGUCUAAA
rnacentral:SRP_RNA from 1 species